CGGGCGGCUACACCCAUGAUUAUCCAGCAAAUGCUCUUCUAUAAUGAAGAUGUUGCCGACAAGACAAUAGGGAAAGUCGAGCAGCUGCUGCAGCCAGAUGGGCCAGGAGCACACCUGAUCCUAGCGUGCCUCGGGAGGCGGACUCGGGCCGACGCUAAUGCGCCACCUACUGCUACCGGAAUACAAAGGAGGACAAAGACGGGCUACAUUAGAAAGCAGAAACUGCGCAAAAUCGACGGGAGCGCGCAGGGCAGGGCAGGGCAGGCCAGGAAGGCACUCGCUGGGCAAGUGCGGAUGCUCAGGAUUUCAUUUGCGGCAAGAACUCAGGACAAAGGAUGAGGGCUCGAAACAAUGCUAAACCAAAUUGAAUGGCUUUCUAACGAUGUUGUCAAGCCAUUACACAUUACACAUUAGACAUUAGAAAUUAGACAUGAGACAGGCCUGUCUGUAGCCACAGCUCAGACACGAACGAGACUGUGGCCAUAUCUCUGCACAUACAAAUGUCUGGCCACAUCUUAUCGUUUAGCACCUGCCCAACAGCUUGCCCAAUCAAAUAUGUGCCCAUGGUUAAGCGAGCAAAUAACCCAUUUUGUGGUAAAUAUGCUCAUGUCAUCGAAAAUCACGAUCACCUUGGACACUGUGAUUGCUGUACGAUGGUGGCUGAUUGGACAUAGCGUGCAGGCAAAAAGGCCCAGGAGAUUGC